rnacentral:rRNA from 1 species
CACGUAGGGCGCAAGCGUUGUCCGGAAUUAUUGGGCGUAAAGAGCUCGUAGGCGGUCUGUUGCGUCCGCUGUGAAAACUCGGGGCUUAACCCCGAGCCUGCAGUGGAUACGGGCAGACUAGAGGUAGGUAGGGGAGAAUGGAAUUCCCGGUGUAGCGGUGAAAUGCGCAGAUAUCAGGAGGAACACCGGUGGCGCAGGCGGCCAGCUGGCCCUGACCUGACGCUGAGGCGCGACGGCGUGGGGAGCGAACGGG